rnacentral:rRNA from 1 species
GAUGAACGCUGGCGGCGUGCCUAAUACAUGCAAGUCGAGCGAACAGACGAGGAGUUUGUCCCUUUGACGUUAGCGGCGGACGGGUGAGUAACAUGUGGAUCAUCUUCCUCUUUUUCGGGGAUAACUUCGGGAAACCGGAGACAAUACUAGAUAAUACAUCCUACCGCAGGGUUCAGUAGUGAAUGACGGUUUGGCUGUCACUUACAGACGGUUUCGCGUCGCAUUAGCGAGUUGGUAAGGUAACGGCUUACCAAGGCGACGAUGCGUAGCCGAGCUGAGAGGAUGAUCGGCCACACUGGAACUGAGACACGGUCCAGACUCCUACGGGAGGCAGCAGUAGGGAAUCUUGGGCAAUGGGCGAAAGCCUGACACAGCGACGCCGCGUGAGUGAUGAAGGUCUUCGGAUCGUAAAGCCCUGUUGUUAGGAAAGAACAACUGUGUACGAAAAUAUGGCCGUCUUGACGGUACCUAAACAAAAAGCACCGGCUAACUACGUG